AGUGAACGCUGGCGGCAGGCCUAACACAUGCAAGUCGAACGGCAGCACAAGAGAGCUUGCUCUCUGGGUGGCGAGUGGCGGACGGGUGAGGAAUGCAUCGGAAUCUGCCCAUUUGUGGGGGAUAACCUCGGGAAACCGGGACUAAUACAGCAUACGACCUACGGGUGAAAGCAGGGGAUCUUCGGACCUUGCGCAGAUGGAUGAGCCGAUGCCGGACUAGCUAGUUGGAGGGGUAAAGGCCCACCAAGGCGACGAUCCGUAGCUGGUCUGAGAGGAUGAUCACCCACACUGGGACUGAGACACGGCCCAGACUCCUAGGGGAGGCAGCAGUGGGGAAUAUUGGACAAUGGGCGCAAGCCUGAUCCAGCCAUGCCGCGUGUGUGAAGAAGGCCUUCGGGUUGUAAAGCACUUUUGUUGGGAAAGAAAAGCAGCCGGUUAAUACCCGGGUGUCAUGACGGUACCCAAAGAAUAAGCACCGGCUAACUUCGUG
rnacentral:rRNA from 1 species